rnacentral:rRNA from 1 species
AUUGAACGCUGGCGGCAUGCUUUACACAUGCAAGUCGAACGGCAGCGGGGAGGAGCUUGCUUCUCUGCCGGCGAGUGGCGAACGGGUGAGGAAUACAUCGGAACGUGUCGAGAAGAGGGGGAUAACCACCCGAAAGGGUGGCUAAUACCGCAUAAAUUCUGAGGAAGAAAGCUGGGGACCUAGGAAUAGGCCUAGCGCUUUUUGAGCGGCCGAUGUCGGAUUAGCUAGUUGGUGAGGUAAAGGCUCACCAGGGCGAAGAUCUGUAGCGGGUCUGAGAGGAUGAUCCGCCACACUGGGACUGAGACACGGCCCAGACUCCUACGGGAGGCAGCAGUGGGGAAUUUUGGACAAUGGGGGCAACCCUGAUCCAGCCAUGCCGCGUGUAUGAAGAAGGCCUUAGGGUUGUAAAGUACUUUUGUUAGGGAAGAAAAGUCAGCUGUGAAUAAUGGCUGAUACUGACGGUACCUAAAGAAUAAGCACCGGCUAACUACGUG